GAAGCAGAGGCAGGUGGAUCUCUGAGUUCAAGGCCAGCCUGGUCUACAAAGAGAUUGAGGACAAAAAUGGGCAUAACGAAUUAAUCAUCACCUUUAAUCUUCAACCAGUCCUAGCAAGAAAGUAGGUGGACACCCGAGAAGCCCUGGCACUGGGUGGAGUGUUUUCCUGUAUCACACUGUUGAUCUCCCCUCUCUCCCAAGGAUCUCUGAAGAUGUCCCUCUUUUGGAGGAUACCCAAAGCAGGAUCCAAGCAGGGCUGGACCAAGCAGGGUUACUAAGGAAAGAGAACACUAUUCCCGUUGCUUUGGGUUUUGUUGGGAAAAUUUCCUUCAUAACUUCUCAAGGCUGUUUGGGUGAGCAGUCAUCUAAACAGCCUGGAGACUAGCCAUUGACAUGUUUCCUCAAAAAUCUAUCAGCUUUGGAACUAAAAUGCCUUAUUAAGACACAAUGCCUCCUCAUUCCACUAUAAAACAAUCCAGCCGCAGAAACCCAGCAACAAUGUCCACCUCGGGUCACUGGACCACAUCUACAACUUCCAAAUUCAAAAGAAAUUCCCGUUAAUGCAAAGGAAUGUGACCUGGUUUCCUGUAUAUAAGCUCUCAUCUCUUCCCACAGCUAUCCUUCUCUUUGCUCAUCCUGCUCCAACAGGUUCCUCCUGGCUAGUCUGGGGAGCAGUUGCUGCCUCUGGUCGCUUCCUCUCUAGCCAUGCCCACUCCCAGCCAAUCCCUGCUCCAAUCAGAUGAGGAGUUCCAGCCAGACUCUCCAGGAUGCCCAGUCUAAUCCCCUUCCCCUCUGAGAGCUUCUGGGACAUUUCCCAUUUCGGCUGCUUUCCAAGCAGCCCCACCUCCAGGGCUACAAAGCAGAAUCAGCGGCCUCACCCACCAGACCUGCCUCCACCCACACUCUGCUCCUUCCCCUUCUGGCUGCCUUGCUGCUAACCUGAAACCAGGCUCUACAAUAGUGAGGGUAGGAGACUCAGAGUUCCUCAUUCCAUAGCGCUAACCCCGAAACUCGCCUUCCCAGUUACGGGUUGUUGUUUUUUUUUUUUGUUAUUGUUUUUGUUUUCUUUUGUUUGCUUUGUUUUUUCGAGAGACAGGGUUUCUCUGUGUAGCCCUGGCUGUCCUGGAGCUCACUCUCCUUGAACUCACAGAGAUCUCCCUGCCUCUGCCUCCCAAGUGCUGGGAUUAAAGCUAUGCGCCACCACCACCCACCACCGACCACCCAGUUACAGUUUUAAAAAAGCUAAUCAUGUUCAUUCAGCCCAUAGACUUCCAGACUGCUUCACUAGCAUGAAAAAAUGCCUUCAACCACACCUCUUUCUCUUCCUCCACUUACCCCAGCAAGCUAUAUACCCAUGACCUAAAUUUCUAACCUUACCUUGCCUGCCUCCUCUGUGCCCCAGUACAACUCUUAGCCAAGUAGCAAAAGACAAGGUGUUUUUCUAGAAAUUAAAAAAAAAAAAAAGUUCAAUCAAAGUGCCCCAAAUUGGCUCACAGUCAUAGGCCUUUGUACAACAGAA